GCGCGGCGGCGGCGGCAGCGGAAGCGGCGAUGGCGUGUGAGGCGGAGUGCCGCCCCUUGGGUGUGUUUGAGUGCCAGCUCUGUGCCUUAACAGCUCCAUAUAGCUACGUGGGGCAGCAGCCCCCCGGCACCCAGUCUGUCGUGUGAGUACCAGGGUCCCAGCACCCCAGGGAGCCCGCCCAGAGCUGGCUGGCCUAAGUCUGACACAGGGCUUGACACAGGGUGUUGUGUCUGGGGCCACCCGGCCCAGGCUCUGGGCACUUCAGGUGUGACCCAGGAAGGCACAGGGCAAGGUUCGAGGGCCAUCCGGCUCUCCUAGAACCUCCCAGUCCCCACCUCCCUGUUCAGCCCAGAGUCCGGCAGCUGCCCCAGCUGUGGGGUGGGAGCACCGUGGCUCAGGCUGAAACAGCUCCGCAGCUGGGAACGCAGGGAGCCGCAGAGGCCAGCGCGUCUGGGGCUGGGCCUUGUCACUGGUCCCGCUGGAUCCUACGAAGACACCUUCUCAGCGGGAAGCUGCCUGCCUUGCGGCUCUUGUACUGGUGGGAGUGAGCCCUGAGGACCAGCUUCCCGUGCACCUGCCCAUGGAUGGCCCAGAGUAGAGCCAGUGGGUCCCGGGGCUUGAUUCUUGACCUUCAACUUGUCCUCCAUCAGAGGCCACCUUGUGGGGAUCUGACCGGUGCAUUACGUGGGACAGGCGGCGGGGGCCAGGCUUCUUUCCUCCGGCCCUGAGGAACCUGGGGUGUUGCCUCGGAUCCUGUUGGUCUCCUUUCUGAUGUGUGCUGUGAGGCCAGAACCUUAGCCAGGGUAAAGCGCCCUGUUCUCCCCGUGUGGAAGCAGGCAGUUUGGGAGCGGGUGUCAUCCCGGAGGUGAGGGGAGGGCUUGGAGAGCUUGCAUGGAGGUCUUGUGCCCGCCCGCCGCCCUGCUGAGUCAGGCUGGGGUCUGGGGGCUGAGUUGCAGCAGCCCUUCUUUGGGCCGAGGAGGAGUGGUUCUUUCCCUGCGGUUGACACGGAGCCCGGAGCAGGUCUCAUUUCAUCCCAGCCUGGCACCACUGCUCGCCUCCCUGCUGCUACUUGGUGGCACAGGGGGCCACCCCUCCCCGCGAUGAGCACGCAUGCCUCCUGGAGGAGAGCUACGUCAUGAGGGACCCCUUCACCCCCAACAAGGACAGAUUCCUGAUCCUCGGCUCGAGAUGCGGCUUAUGCGGCAGGCUGGUGUGCGUGGGCCCGGAAUGCAGUUUAUUCUACUCCAAGAGAUUUUGCCUCCCCUGUGUCCGGGAGAACAUUGAUGCUUUCCCUCAGGAAAUUCAGCAAGACUUGGAGAAAAGGAAAGUCCCAUCCAAGAGGCCUGCCAGCCAGCCUGGUUCUCGAACGUGAGUCCAGUCGGGUACCAGGUCCGCAGCAGUGCGCUGCACGGGGCUCCUGGCCAGCGGGCUUCUGUGGCCUGGCUCAGAGAUGGGGCCAAGCUGGGAGCCGCUGCGACCGACCUUGUUUCUGGGCCAUCGGGAGCCGUGUCUGUAGCCAAAGGGAGCUGGGGUCCGCCUGCAGCAGCAACAGGGCCAGGAGCCGCGCAGAGAGGGCGCCCAGAAGGCAGACCCCAGACCCCAGUGCUCCGAAGACCGCAGCACCCCCGCCCUCACGGCCCCCACCUUAGCGAUUGGUGAGACACUGAUUGUGGGCUCGCCACGUGCCUGCCAGUUCUUAGAGGGCAGGAACUGCUCUGUCCGAUUCUGUAGUUUCCGCAGGGCCAGUGCACACUGCCUGGAGGGUGCUAGAAACAUGUUUGAUGAGAGAAUGAAUAAAGAGCUUUUACUGGCC